GCCAUGAUCCUUCACAGUAAAUGUCCCUUAUUACGUAACAUUACGUGGAAGACCCCUCACUUUGUUGUGUCUGUUUACCUUGGCUCAGGUGUGAAUUGAAAUGGGGCCGAUUGUUCCAGGAAAAUGAAGUGAGAAAUGUUUGUGUCUGGCAAGAGACCAGACAGUACUCUCUACGCCUGUAUGGAUGCGCAAAGGAAAGUGGGGUCAUUCGGGGGAAGUACCAGCUGGCACCUGGAACAAAAGGGAUGUUUGCAAACACCAGGCCCAGCCCGCUGAGUUCUCCCUGCUGGGAAGUAAAAGGCAUGCUCAUAAAAGUCUCUUACCCCAUGAGGGAGAAGACAAUGUAGUGAUUGGGCCAAUCUCUACUCUCUGCUGUGCUGAUGGAAAGAUGUCCGGGUCCCCUUCCAGGGGACUUCCUGUAUCACCGUGGAGAGUUGGACCACAGGGAGAUCCAGCUCACUCUCUGCCAAGUGAUAAACUCGACUCGGAAACAGAGCUAGUGUGUCCAUCAUUCAGCUUUGUCCUCAUGUCUCACAGUCUUCCAGUUGAUGAGAUACUGUGCUUUCAAAGAAGACCAGGCCAACCAGCCAAAUGGUACACAAUGGACACCUUGAUCUCUAGGGUCACACUUUAUUGAGAUAGUCAAGAUUUUCAUACUAUCAACAAACUAUCUCUUGAUAAGCAACUGCUUGCUAAAGUUACAGUUAGGGUUAGGUUUAAAAUAAGGGUUUGGUUAAGGUUAGGGUUAAGGUUAGGGCUAGGGUUAGGGUAAGAGUUAAGUUAAGGGUUAGUGCUAAUAGAUAGGUAGUUGAAAUGUUACUGAUAGUCUGUAAAGCAUCUACAUGUGGCCUAUCCAAAUAAAGUGUUACCAUCUCUAGGAAGUCAGACAUUAUAAGGAUACACUUGAAGGUUGACAAUGUAAGGCCCAGUUAAUGCUCUCAGUAAACAAACACCUAGUGGAGUGUGCUUACAUCGUAAUCUGUAAACACAGGUGUGCCACAAGGAUGUGUACUAUCCCCCAUGUUAUUCAUUAAUUAUACUGUCAAC
rnacentral:lncRNA from 13 species